rnacentral:rRNA from 1 species
UAUUACCUACGGGGGGCAGCAGUGGGGAAUAUUGGACAAUGGGGGGAACCCUGAUCCAGCGACGCCGCGUGAGUGAAGAAGUAUUUCGGUAUGUAAAGCUCUAUCAGCAGGGAAGAAAGAAAUGACGGUACCUGACUAAGAAGCCCCGGCUAACUACGUGCCAGCAGCCGCGGUAAUACGUAGGGGGCAAGCGUUAUCCGGAUUUACUGGGUGUAAAGGGAGCGUAGACGGGAAGCCAAGUCAGCUGUGAAAACUACGGGCUUAACUUGUAGACUGCAGUUGAAACUGGUUUUCUUGCGUGAAGU